GCAGCUGCUCCCAACCCCAGCCCCUCUGCUGCUUUGGAACAGAUCACCACUGCAAGAGAGGAAGCUGCUACUGUGAUGAAUUCUGCCACGAGGUGUCAGACUGCUGCCCAGACCACCGCACCCUGUGCACCCUGGAUAACUCACAUGCAGGCUCCUUCCCACCCCUGGCGGAGCCGGAUGCUGUGAUGGACAGAGGCAAGCCCCUUGCUUGUACUUCAGGCCAAGGCCAGGAUGUGGACUGGAUGCCUCCUGAGGGCCCUGAUAAUCCUGAGAUCCUCACAUUUGGUCCAUUUCGUACCAAAAGUGCCCACAUAUUCCUCCCAGCUUUGUUUCCCCACUGCUCCUGACCACCUGCUGCUCCCCUCUGAGCUCCUUUCCCAGAUCCCCACAGGGAGAGGCUAAGCUGUUGGUGGUUGGGGAUCAGGGUGGCGAGUGAGGUGGUUGGGUCACCUAACUGCCCCCGCAUCUCUUGCAACAUAGAUGCCUCUUGACCUGACCCAUGUAGACUUUUGAGGGAAGACAGGAGUCUGCAGAGAGGUGCUAGGGAUGUUACAUAGGAGGAGGGAGACUGGGAGUCAGGGAGGAGGCCAGGAGCUUUUGCUUUGUGUUUCUCAGCUUCUCAGAAUACCAAGAUGGUGCUGCAGAUGGUGCUGAGGAGGGAGACCCCCCCGAGCCCUGCAAGAAGCAACCUAGACUGGAUACAGAAUGUGGUGAGUACCCUGGUGGUUCUCCCGGAAGGGGUGCUGACAACCUGCUCCUGCCUCCCUGGCCUGUAGACCCCAGAGUCAGGGAACCACUACCAAGGGGGGAAAGAGACCUGAGCUGGGGCACAGCUCCACGGUUUUAGGGCUAGGAGCCAUGGUAUCUGACCAUGGACACUGACACCUGAAUUUCAUAUAAUUUUCAUGUGUCAUGACAUAUUCUUUUGACUUUUUUCAACCACUUAAAAUAUAAAAAACAUUCUUAACUUGUGAUCUGCACACACACACACACACACACACACACACACACACACACAAACCUGCAACAAGUCAGACUUGGCCCACGGAUUGUGGUUGGCUGCUCUCUGCCCUAAAUCAUCCUUUGUUCUUUACUUUUCGUUUGGGUCGUGACUUCAGCACUGACCUGUCCAGAGCUCUCUGCCCAGAACUGGAGCAGAGGCUUCAGUCCCCACUCUAGCAUAUUAUGACCAUUGGGCAGAAAGAAAGGCAGCAUGGUACAAGGAAAGAGCAUGGACUCGGGAGCCAGCAAGACCUGGGUUCAAAUCCUGUCUCUACCACUUAUUACCUGGAUGAUUACUGGAUGACCUGAAGUAACUUCUUCUGCCUUUCUGAGCUUCCCUUUCCUCAUCUGUGUCCCAGAGCUUGCCCUGUAGAGCUGUUACAAAAGGGCCUUGGUAGAUGUACAACGAGACAUAGCUAUUAUUUGGGGACAUGCAAAUAAGCUGCAGAGGGUGUAGGCCUUCGCUUCCUGCUCACUUAGGUCCAGCAGCUUCUGCACACCAGCCUCCCAGGGAGGCCCCUCUCCAUCUCCAUGAAGAAAAUCAAGAAGAGAGCCUGACAUCUCCCAUGAAGCUCCUCCAGGGCCCUGUGAUGCAGAGCCCACCCUAUUCCCCUCCCCCAGCAUCCCCAGGUCUGCUGGGGCCUUACCACUGGGCCCACUGUGCUUGUCUCUUGGUUUCUAUCCUGCGUGCUUCUAUAUUGGUUCAACCAGAGGAAGACGGAAAUCUGCAAUAGUCAUAAACACAUUUAAAUCAGCCAUACAUGGCUGGGUGGCUCAGUCAGUUGAGUAUCCAAAUUCAGCUCUGGUCAUGAUCUCACAGUUCAUGAGUUCAAGCCCUGCAUUGGGCUCUGUGCUUACAGCCCAAAGCCUGGAGCCUGCUUCGGAUUCUGUGUCUCCCUCUCUCUCUGCCCCUCCCCUGCUCUCUCUCUCUCUCACUCUCUCUCUCAAAAUAAAUGAACAUUAAAAAAAUUAAAUCAGCCAUACAGAUUAUAAAACAUA
rnacentral:lncRNA from 1 species